rnacentral:rRNA from 1 species
UCCUUAAUUCUCUCGUGUGUCCUCUCGUUUGAGUAGAGCGGGGUACCGAGGCGGAGGUCCAUUCGACUACCUGUGCUAGUCUUCCGGCCAGCGUCGUCGAAGUAGAGAGGUAGUAAGUCGCCGCUUCGUAGACCGGUAGAACCGAGUAUCCUUGCACCAAUUGUCCUCCAUGGAGGAGUGAGAUGACCGUAGGCGGCGUCGGUAUGGACUCCGGCCACUUAGUUCUUUUCGGGAUAACGUUCUAAUACACUUCUUUAGUUUCCUUUUGUUUCUUUUCUUACUGUUCCUCUCCGCCCUGCGGCAAAUGUUUUCCUUAAUGUUCCUAAUAAAGCCAAAGUACCUUCCGGGCCAAUCUCUCUUCGGUCGCCUCCUCGAGUGUCUCAGCCUCUUUCCUUAAGAGCGCACCGACCUGUUCUUGUUCAUCGAUCACAACUUGUACCCUCCACGUGCGGUUGGUUUAUCGACUUUGUCGAAAAAGACAUCCUUUUAAGGAAGGCGCCACUUCAACAGUUACUCAAUUAUUCGAAUCGUAUAUCGUGGAGUGAACGGAGAAUUUGGACUACGUUGAACAAGACAAAGUAGUAACGAUAGAGUAGACACGUCAUCGUGUUUAGAAACGAACUAGACUGUCAUACAAAGUAAAAACGUUUUAGUCUUUUUUAAGUAUCUUACCUGUAGUAAUAUGUGGCUAGACAUGAAUAAUAAAACAUGUCAUUGGACUGUUACCUGUUCUUUAGAAAAGAGAAGAGACAUAUAGAAGAAACGAUUAGUCUUACAUAAUGAUCUUUAAACAACCCUUUUACAGCUGCAUCUCCGUUCUAUUUAUUAAGUUUAUACACCGGAUUUUUAUUACUUCUAUGGCCUUUCCGUUUUUCCCAACAGGUUUUACGUCUGAACAGGUUUCGGGUUCGUCAUGACGCAUACCAGGCUAAACGGGGACAGACAAAGGUAGGUCUCUUUUUGGACACCGGAACCAGGUAAGGUCCUAAAGUAGUAUAGUAUAGUAUAGUUUAUCGUCGUUGGACCGCUGCGAAGGUACAUCCUGUAGUUCUCUCGUGUGACCUCUCGUUUGAGUAGAGUAGGGUACUGAGUCGGAGGUCCAUUUGACUACCUGUGUUAGUCUUCCGGCCAGCGUCGUCGAAGUAGAGAAGUAGUAAGGCGCCCUUUCGUAGACCAGUGGAACCGAGUCUCCUUACCUCAAUUGUCUUCCACGGAGGAGUGAGAUGACCGUAGGCGGCGUCGGUAUGGGCUCCGAUCGCUUAGAUCUUUCCGCGAUAACGUUCUAAUACACUUCUCCAGUUUCCUUUUGUUUCUCUUCUUACUGUUCCUCUCCGACCUGCUGAAAAUGUUCUCCUUAAUGUUCCUAACAAAACCAAAGUACCUUCCGAGCCAAUCUCUCUUCGGUCACCUCCUCGAGUGCCUCAGCCUCUUUCCUUAAGAGCGUACCGAACUGUUCUUGUUCAUCGAUCACAACUCGUACUCUCCUCGUGCGGUCGGUGGUUUACCGACUUUGUCGAAAAAGCUAUCCUUUUAAGGAACGGGCCAAUUCAAGAGUUCCUCAAUUAUUCGAAUCGUAAAUCGUGGAGUGAGCGGAGAAUUUAGACCACGUUGAACAAGGCAAAGUAGUAACAGUAGAGUAGACACGUCGUGUUUAGAAACGAACUAGACUAUAACAGAAAGUAAAAAACGUUUUAGUUUCUAAAAGUAUUCAAGAUCUUAAGUCCUGUCCCUUUUUAUCUUUUAAUAAGGUAGGGUUUAAGGGUUGGGCGUAUGUGACAUCAACACGGGAGUCUUUUUGUACAGAGGAAGAGGAGCCUGCCCCGCCGUCCCAGUCCAUACUAUAAUUCCCUACUACCCUCGCAUUAGCAACGACGUAUGGCAGUAAAUAAGAAAACAUGACUACGAGAACUUCGACUCGAGGUACGUGCUAAGUUAGUCUAAAGAGUUGUCGCGAUGCUACACGAGUGGGCUAGAAGACUCCGGGACCUAGCCAACCGAAUACGGAAUACCAGUAGAAUAAAAUCUCUAGUUCUCAGAAUACCACCCAUCCCCCAAACAAGGAUACUUUUAAAGGUCC